AAUUUUUAUGGAGAGUUUGAUCCUGGCUCAGGAUGAACGCUGGCGGCGUGCCUAAUACAUGCAA
rnacentral:rRNA from 2 species